CGGGUGAGUAACACGUAGGCAACCUGCCCGUAAGACCGGGAUAACUACCGGAAACGGUAGCUAAUACCGGAUAAUCAAGCUUCUCGCAUGAGAGGCUUGGGAAAGGCGGUUCUGAAUUUAUUCAGGGCUGUCACUUACGGAUGGGCCUGCGGCGCAUUAGCUAGUUGGUGGGGUAACGGCUCACCAAGGCGACGAUGCGUAGCCGACCUGAGAGGGUGAACGGCCACACUGGGACUGAGACACGGCCCAGACUCCUACGGGAGGCAGCAGUAGGGAAUCUUCCGCAAUGGACGAAAGUCUGACGGAGCAACGCCGCGUGAGUGAUGAAGGUUUUCGGAUCGUAAAGCUCUGUUGCCAGGGAAGAACGUCUUCUGGAGUAACUGCCAGGAGAGUGACGGUACCUGAGAAGAAAGCCCCGGCUAACUACGUGCCAGCAGCCGCGGUAAUACGUAGGGGGCAAGCGUUGUCCGGAAUUAUUGGGCGUAAAGCGCGCGCAGGCGGCUGUUUAAGUCUGGUGUAUAAUCCUGGGGCUCAACUCCGGGUCGCACUGGAAACUGGA
rnacentral:rRNA from 1 species